UACGUAGGGUGCAAGCGUUAAUCGGAAUUACUGGGCGUAAAGGGCGCGUAGGCGGCGUGUUAAGUCAGUUGUGAAAUCUCCAAGCUUAACUUGGAACGGUCAACUGAUACUGAUGUGCUAGAGUGCAGAAGGGGCAACCGGAAUUCUUGGUGUAGCGGUGAAAUGCGUAGAUAUCAAGAGGAACACCUGAGGUGAAGACGGGUUGCUGGGCUGACACUGACGCUGAGGCGCGAAAGCUAGGGUAGCAAACGGG
rnacentral:rRNA from 1 species